rnacentral:rRNA from 1 species
UACGGAGGGGGCUAGCGUUGUUCGGAAUUACUGGGCGUAAAGCGCACGUAGGCGGCUUUGUAAGUUAGAGGUGAAAGCCCGGGGCUCAACUCCGGAAUUGCCUUUAAGACUGCAUCGCUAGAAUUGUGGAGAGGUAAGUGGAAUUCCGAGUGUAGAGGUGAAAUUCGUAGAUAUUCGGAAGAACACCAGUGGCGAAGGCGGACUUACUGGACACAUAUUGACGCUGAGGUGGCGAAAGCGUGGGGAGCAAACAGG